rnacentral:rRNA from 1 species
CCUACGGGAGGCAGCAGUGAGGAAUAUUGGUCAAUGGACGAGAGUCUGAACCAGCCAAGUAGCGUGAAGGAUGACUGCCCUAUAGGUUGUAAACUUCUUUUAUAUGGGAAUAAAACGUUCCACGUGUGGGAUUUUGUAUGUCCCAUAUUAAUCAGGAUCGGCUAAUUCCGUGCCAGCAGCCGCGGUAAUACGGAGGAUCCGAGCGUUAUCCGGAUUUAUUGGGUUUAAAGGGAGCGUAGGUGGAUUGUUAAGUCAGUUGUGAAAGUUUGCGGCUCAACCGUAAAAUUGCAGUUGAAACUGGCAGUCUUGAGUACAGUAGAGGUGGGCGGAAUUCGUGGUGUAGCGGUGAAAUGCUUAGAUAUCACGAAGAACUCCGAUUGCGAAGGCAGUUCACUGGACUGCAACUGACACUGAGGCUCGAAAGUGUGGGUAUCAAACAGGAUUAGAUACCCGGGUAGUC